rnacentral:lncRNA from 1 species
GUACUAAGUACUGCAGUGUUCCUGGGUACCUAAAUUCAGACUCCUGACCCUACUGUUAUCCCUUCUCUGAGAUGCUUCAGCCAAGAAGUGUUUUGGACUUCAGAUUUUAGAAUAUCUGCCUGCACUUGAUGAGAUAUCUUGGGGGUAGGACCCAAAUAUAAGCAAAAAAUUAAUCCAUGUGUUUUACAUACCUUAUUCACAUAGACCGAAG